rnacentral:rRNA from 1 species
AUUGAACGCUGGCGGCAUGCCUAACACAUGCAAGUCGAACGAGUGGCGGACGGGUGAGUAAUUUCUGGGAAACUGCCUGAUGGAGGGGGAUGACUACUGGAAACGGUAGCUAAUACCGCAUACCAUCGGAUGUGCCCAGAUGGGUUGAGCUAGUAGGUGGGGUAAAGGCUCACCUAGGCGACGAUCCAUAGCUGGUCUGCGAGGAUGACCAGCCACACUGGAACUGAGACACGGUCCAGACUCCUACGGGAGGCAGCAGUGGGGAAUGUUGCACAAUGGGCGCAAGCCUUAUGCAGCCAUGCCGCGUGUAUGAAGAAGGCCUUCGGAUUGUAAAGUACUUUCAGUGGGGAAGCGUUACCCGCAGACGAAGCCCCGGCUAACUCCGUGCCAGCAGCCGCGGUAAUUC